rnacentral:lncRNA from 1 species
CGUCACCGCCCCUCCCCCCCCGCAGCCCCCAGGGGGCUCCCGGAGCGUGCGGAACCCGCGGGGCUGGCGGCUCCAGGGGCGGCUUCCCCACUCUUGGGAUCCCCACGGGGCCCCCAGCGUGGAGGGGAGACUAGGGUGCUGGGCGUGCGCGUCUGCCCGCCAGAGCCCCUGGGGCUGGGGGCUGAGGCUCGCCCCUGGGUGGGGGCGCUGGAAGGGGGCGCCGGGGCCGCAAAAGGGUGGGGCAAGGCCCGAGUGCCGGAGGGGCGACCUCCCAUAAGGCAACGACAGGGCCCGGAGUGUGCCAGGGGAGACGGCGUAGACUCGGGGGUCUCCAGGGGAGGGGGACCCGGAGAGGAAAGGCGGCGGGCGCAGCAGCCCUGGAGCCACCCCGCCUCCAGCCACCCGUCCCGGCUCCUCUCCGCUCCGGGGCGCCUGCACGACCCCGAUCCCCCGGCACAGCGCCCCCUGCCUCCAGGACCCGCCCGGGGACCCAGGCCGGACGCCGCCGGGGCCGGCACCCGCUCCGCACACACGCGCGCCCCCCUCCGCGCCUCUGCCCCGCCCGCAGCCCGGGGUGGUGCAGCCGGCGGCGCUGGGCAGCUUCCAACACCGCGCUUCGGGCGCUUCCAGCCCAGCCCCCUCCCACGCCGCGGGCGAAGCCCCCCAGCCCCGCCCGCCGAGUGCCCCCAGCGCGGUCCCGGCCCAGCCCCUCGGGGCAUUGUCCGGGCUCAGCUCCCGGGGCGCAGGGGCUGGGCGUGCAACCGGCUGCAGCCGAGCAUCCUCCGAGCACAAUGGCCGUGCAGGCUUCCCCGGCACAAAGCCGGCGCGCUGCCCACUCAGCUGCCUCCGAGACCCCCCUUGGAGCGCCUGCAUUUUUUUUUCCUCGAAUCCAUGAUUUUUUUUUUUUUUUUUUUUUUGGCUUUACCUGGAGGCUGGCUGGGCUGGGCUCCCCCGGCUCUGCCCCGCUUCACAUCCUGGCUGUUGCAUGGAAUCCGAGCGGAGCCCGAGCGCCAGCGGCUCGCGGCGUGCGCGCGCCGGCCGGGCUGCCGGGCGGGCGGCGCGAGGACACUCACUGCGGCUCGCGCUCCCCUCGCGCCGGCUCGCGCGCCCCCCCAGCCGGUGACGUCAUCCCUUCCGCCAGCGCCGCCGCCGCCGCCGCUGCCGGGUCGGGGGCAGGGCCGGCCCGGGCGCGUCACUGCGCAGCCGCGCGGCUGCCACGCCCCCCGGCCAAUGGGACGGCGCGGCGCGGUCACGUGGCCCCGGGGUGUUCAAAGGGCCGCGGGAGCACGUGGGGCCCUGGGCUUCGCGGGACACGUGGGCGGCGGUAGUGUUGGUGGUGGCGGCGGGAAGGGCCCCUCGGGCUACUGUCCGUGCGGGAGCCCCAGCGUCCUGGGUGCAAAGGGCAUGGCACUUUCUGUGUGCUGCUCUAAACUCUGCCAGAGCUCCCUAGUGUCCUUGGAAUAA